rnacentral:miRNA from 1 species
UGAAAUGUUUAGGACCACUUAA